GCUCACACAAUGACUUCUUUUUAAAAUCAUUCAUUUUUUUUAUGAUAUUGUGAUUGCAUGAAUCAACCAGAGCAGCAUUUACUUUACUUCUUAGCCUAGUAGUUAUUCAUAUUAUAAUAUGUAGUUUGGUGAUCCAUUAUUUUUUUAUUUGUUCUUCUCUUUCUCUGCAAAUUCCUUAAUCCCUGUCCUUUAAAAAAACAGCACCUCAUUACAUAAAAAAGGCACUUUUAAGAGCCACAUUUGUCUUGUUUAUUGUCUUAUUUGUAUUUUUUUAUUGUCUUGUUAUCUCUCCCUCUCUCCCUCUCUCUCUCUCUCUCUCUCUCUCUAUCUCUCUCUCUCACUCUCUCACUCUCUCUCCAUCCCUCUCUCUCUCCCCUACCAUCUGAGUGGUGGUUGCUUUUUAGAGGGAGCAACUGGGUUGCUGCCUCUUCUUCACUCACUUUAAUCAACUGAAAGUGUAAAGAAUGACAAAGCCAAAAUUCAGGCCUUUGCCCAACCUGCCAGGUCCGUCAGCAGGUUAACCGCAAAACCUGCAGUGCUUGUUUUGCCAUACUGCCAAGCAAGCGGUUAUUAAAAACUGCAAAAAUGAAUGAUGACUGGGGCCAGAGGGUCAUCAAAAACAAAAAUGCAUCUCGGGUGGUGGCCUCUGCCCAAAUAGCUGUCCAAAAACUUUCUGCCUUGGGCUAUAUGCCCAUAUUAUUUAUCAGCCAGAGGCACAAGGGCACAGGCAAGUUGAUGGCAGAUGUAGUAACGCAUCUGCCACCGACGCAAAACAACACGCGUUUCUUAACCAGCAUGAAGAGGGCAUAUGACUUCAUGAUCAAACUGGAUGGUAAGAUAAGUUUUAUGUAUAGUUCAUUAGUGUUUGUCGUUGAUUUCUUUGACAAUUUGUACUGAAGUCAUAUU